rnacentral:rRNA from 1 species
GCCUAGCUUGCUAAGCUUGUUUUUAGUGGCGCACGGGUGAGUAACACGUGAGUUACCUGCCCCCAAGAGUGGGAUAGCCCCGGGAAACUGGGAUUAAUACCGCAUAAUAUCGCAAGAUUAAAGGUGCAAACCGCUUGGGGAUGGGCUCGCGGCCUAUUAGUUAGUUGGUGAGGUAACGGCUCACCAAGGCGAUGACGGGUAGCCGGUCUGAGAGGAUGUCCGGCCACACUGGAACUGAGACACGGUCCAGACACCUACGGGUGGCAGCAGUCGAGAAUCAUUCACAAUGGGGGAAACCCUGAUGGUGCGACGCCGCGUGGGGGAGCGAAGGUCUUCGGAUUGUAAACCCCUGUCAAGUGGGAGCAAAUUAAAAAGAUAGUACCACUAGUGGAAGAGACGGCUAACUCUGUGCCAGCAGCCGCGGUAAUACAGAGGUCUCAAGCGUUGUUCGGAAUCACUGGGCGUAAAGCGUACGUAGGCGGCUUGGUAAGUCGUGUGUGAAAGGCAGGGGCUCAACCUCUGGACUGCACAUGAUACUGCCAGGCUAGAGUAAUGGAGGGGAAACCGGAAUUCUCGGUGUAGCAGUGAAAUGCGUAGAUAUCGAGAGGAACACUCGUGGCGAAGGCGGGUUUCUGGACAUUAACUGACGCUGAGGUACGAACGCUAGGGGAGCGAAAGGG